UAACUUGCAAAAAAAUCUUUAUUGAAAAUCGUGAAGCAGUUCAGAGUCCAUAUUCAUAAGUCCAUAGUCGAAAUAGUUUUCUUAACGGACAUAGUAUCCGGAGUAGGCGUAGGGGUAAGCAGGGGCGGCGGCGAGCGGGGCGGAGUAGGCGACCGGGGAGUACGCGGAGUAAGCGGAGUAGCCCACCGCGGGCACCACGGCGGGAGCGGAGUACGACAACACCUGCGGCUCGGGCUUGGGGCUGGCGAAGGCCACGGCCACGAGGGCGAGGAAGGCAAACUGGAA